AGAGAGCGAGAGAGGAGCGAGAGAGUGAGCUGUGCGCACGUGCGCGCUUGGGGCCUUUCAGGGACCAGCCCAACCUCGGGUGGCCGCCUGGGCCUUGGAGCUCCGGAGCUUCCUNGGAAGGCUUCUCGCCUCCCUCCUGGGCAGGCCGUGGUUGGCAGGCCGAGGCAGCGUGGUUUUGGGCGCGUGGGCGAGAGUCGUGCUGUGAAGCAGCUCCUUCCUCUCCCCUCGCGGGAGGGCCCCCGCCCACCCACUCGCCUUCAGAUUUGGGUGCCACGGAGCGGGCAGGAAUGGAGGUGGGGGGGCAAGCCGAGCCCGGGCAGACCACUGGGCGGCAGUGAGGUCACCGCACCCGGUCAGCCGCCAGGCCAGGCGAGGGGAGGCCGGCAAAGCCACCUGGCUGGACACGAGGUGAGGUGUCACAGAGUCUGCCCGGCUCUCUGCCGGGGCGCCAGGCGGGCCCGCGCUCUGCUGACGGUGGGUUGGCUUCGCCUGGGCCCAGGGCUUGGCGGCGUGGGCAGGGGGCUGGCCUUUUUUUCCUGCGGAGAGUAUGGGGAGGGGGAAGCGACACGGAGCCCAGCCUGGCUAUUUUUAGAGCCUCCUGCUGGCCUGGAACCCGACUUGGCCGCUGCUGCUCGGUCAGUCUUUCCAUCCUGGGACAGGAAGGAGGCUGGAGGCGGGCAGGGGAGCAGGUCUCUCUCUCCCCCCCUUCUCUCUCCCCCCCCCCGGCUGUGUCGGUGUCUGCAAGAUGGCCAGGCUGGCCAGGCUCCCUCUCCUUUCUCUUCUGGACCUUUUCCUCUCUCUACCUGGAGCUCCACGGCCUGGGCGCCUCGGCCCCUUCCUGGCCUCGCUCAGCACACCAGAAGCCGCCGUGGGGCCGGAAGGGGCCGGGCUUGGCAUGGGUUGGGGUGGCGGGGAUGCAGGGGGGGGAGCAAGCGUGCAAAUGAGCGAGCGAGGGCACUGCUGUGCUUGCUGAGGAGAGGAAGCAUUUUCAAGGUGCCGCAUGGCUGGUGGGCGGGAGGGAGCGCCCUGCUUCGACCAGAGGGGGGGGGGUUGUGUUUUCCCAGGUGGACCGCUGCCAUUUGCUCUCUUUCGUCUGCGUCCGUCUCUGUGUCAUUUUGGGGGGUACAGUGA
rnacentral:lncRNA from 1 species